rfam:Podiceps cristatus contig57909, whole genome shotgun sequence.
GACCUCGUGGCGCAAUGGCAGCGCGUCUGACUCCAGAUCAGAAGGCUGUGUGUUCAAAUCACACCGGGGUCA